rnacentral:tRNA from 11 species
GGAGAGAUGGCUGAGUGGUUGAUAGCCCCGGUCUGAAAAC